rnacentral:rRNA from 1 species
UACGUAGGGUGCAAGCGUUGUCCGGAAUUAUUGGGCGUAAGAGCUUGUAGGCGGUUUGUCGCGUCUGCCGUGAAAAUUCGAGGCUCAACCUCGAACUUGCGGUGGGUACGGGCAGACUAGAGUGUGGUAGGGGAGACUGGAAUUCCUGGUGUAGCGGUGAAAUGCGCAGAUAUCAGGAGGAACACCGAUGGCGAAGGCAGGUCUCUGGGCAUUAACUGACGCUGAGGAGCGAAAGCAUGGGGAGCGAACAGG